CCUACGGGAGGCAGCAGUAGGGAAUAUUCCACAAUGGGCGAAAGCCUGAUGGAGCAACGCCGCGUGGGUGAAGAAGGUCUUCGGAUCGUAAAACCCUGUUGUUAGAGAAGAAAGUGCGUGAGAGUAACUGUUCACGUUUCGACGGUAUCUAAACAGAAAGCCACGGCUAACUACGUGCCAGCAGCCGCGGUAAUACGUAGGUGGCAAGCGUUAUCCGGAUUUAUUGGGCGUAAAGGGAACGCAGGCGGUUUUGUAAGUCGGAUGUGAAAGCCUUCGGCUUAACCGGAGUAGUGCAUUGGAAACUGGGAGUCUUGAGUGAAGAAGAGGAGAGUGGAAUUCCAGGUGUAGCGGUGAAAUGCGUAGAUAUAUGGAAGAACACCAGUGGCGAAAGCGGCCUUCUGGUCUGUAACUGACGCUGAGGUUCGAAAGCGUGGGUAGCAAACAGGAUUAGAUACCCCAGUAGUC
rnacentral:rRNA from 1 species